AUGCAACCUCAGAUCAGACGUGGUGACCCCCUGAAUUUAAGCAUACUACUGAGGGGAGGAAAAGAAACUAACAAGGAUUCCCUCAGUAGCAGCGAGCAAAGAGGGAAGAGCCCAGCACCGAAUCCCCGUCCGACCUGUGGGCGAGGGAAAUGUGGUGUACGGAAGACCGCAUUACUGCAGCGUCGGCCGGGGGCUCGAGUCCUUCUUAUCGAGGCACAUCCCACAGACAGUGUGAGGCCAGUGGCAGCCCCAGUUGCACAGCAGCACGGUCUUCCCGGAGUCGGGUUGCUUGGGAAUGCAGCCCAAAGUGGGUGGUAAACUCCAUCUAAGGCUAAAUACCAGCACGAGACCGAUAGUCAACAAGUACCAUAAGGGAAAGUUGAAAAGAACUUUGAAGAGAGAGUUCAAGAGGGCGUGAAACUGUUAAGAGGUAAACUGACAGGGUCCAUGCAGUCCACCCAGAGGAUUCAAGUCGGCGGGUUAAGACGGCCGGCCGUCCUGGGUCCCGUCGGUUCCCCUCCACCCUGGAGGGGACCAUGGCCCGGCCGGGCUCGGCUCCUGUCGGGCACAUUUCCUCCGGAGGUCAGUGCGCCGCGACCGGCUCUGGGUCGGCAUGGAAGAGCUUGGGGUCGGGAAGGUGGCCUGGCAGCGCCCUCACAGCACCUGCCCGGUGUUAUAGCCCCCCCCUCCGUUCAAACCUCGCCACUUCCCAAGGCCGUGGAAACGGACACCCCUCCCCGCCAACCCUCCCCCGCGAGGGAUCGAGGGGUUCGGGGCCCCCACGCCCCUGGCACGACUGUCGGCUCACGAUCCAAGCUAGGCACCAGGGGUUCGCAGCGAAUGCGGCGACCCAUCCGACCAGUUUUGAAACACGGACUAAGGAGUCUAAUGCACGCGCGAGUCAGAGGGUCAAAUGAAACCCGAAGGCGCAAUGAAGGUGAAGGCCGGGACAGCCUCGGCCGAGGCGGGAACCCGGUCCCUAGUACCCCUUCCCAGGGGGAAAGGGUUGGGCGCACUGCCGGCCCGUCUUGCCCGCAGCAUCGGGGAGGUGGAGCAAGAGCGCACGUGAUGGUACCCGAAAGAUGGUGAACUAUGCCUGGGCAGGACGAAGCCAGAGGAAACUCUGGUGGAGGUCCGCAGUGGUCCUCACGUGCAAAUCGGUCAUCUGACCUGGGUAUAGGGGCGAAAGAUUAAUCAAACUAUCUAGUAGCUGGUUCCCUCCGAAGUUUCCCAGGCCUUGGUCUUGGGGCCAAAACAGUCUAUUAAGAGGCCUCACUCACGGGUUGCCUUGCCAGCCACCUUUGGUAAGCAAAACUGGCACUGGGGGAAAAACCUGAGCUGGGCUAUGGCGCUCAGUACUGAUGACCUGUGAGGUGUUGGUCGAUAUUGACAGCAGGACGGUUGCCAAGAAGUCCGAAUCCACUAAGAGCGUGUGACAACUUACUUACGGACUCAACUGGCCCUCCGGGAGCUGGAAGGUCGGACCCAUGUCUGGCCGUCUGGCAGCAGGUAACUCUGUUGAUAUGCCACGACGAGUAGGAGGGCCCCCACGGAGAGCAAUGAAGCCGGGGCAGAGCUGCCGUGGAUGCAAACCUUGGUGUAGUAGCAAAUACUGACAAGGGCGGAUGAUUUGUUCAUCUUCAUCAACUGCUAGGGAAGUGCAACUCUCAGUCCCCUUAUACACAGGCUAAGCUGAAACCUAAAGGAAAUGUCGUUAAAAUAAUGGCACGGCGUACACGGCUGAUUGCUGAUAAGGCAGUGGGAACAUAACCUAAUUGCCUGGGACUUCAAAGCUCAAUACUACAAGCUGAAAUAAAGAUUGCGCUUAUGGCUUAAACAGUGGUGCUGGUGGGCUGACUAUGUGCCCAUUAAGCUACUGCUGGGUGAUUGUGUCCGAUUCUACAUCAAUUCCCUGGGAUUGUUAAGUGAAAUUCAGGGAUGACGGUUAACUGGAUGUGUUUUUGUGGGGUGGGUGUAUCCAGUAAGACGGCCCACACUCGUGGUCGCCAGCCCGAAUGACUGUGAGUAUUUAGAGUGGCAGCAUGGCCUGCUGCCUUAACAAAGGGGCUAUAGGUGUGCCUUAGGGGAGCUGAGUGCAUCUAUUAAGAAGACUCUCUCUCCUGGCCUGCUUGCCCAGUAGGCCGGGUAGUAUCUAGGGCAGCAGCGUGGCCCCCUGCCUUAACAAAAGGGCUAUAGGUGUGCUUUUGAGGAGUUGGGUGUGUCUAUUAAGAAGACUCCCUCUCCUGGUUGACCUGCCCAGUUGCCGAGUAGUAUGUUCAGCACAUCGGAUAUGACUAACAUCCCGUGCUUGCUGGCCGUAGCUUGCUAGGUUCCUUUCUAUGCCGCCCUGCCCAAAACUGGAACUGAAACUGACGGGAGGACAAUUAAGGUGCUGUGCACCAAACCGGAUGUGACCUUACCCUCAGAUUGAUUUCCCCGCGUAAGCACGUUGAGGUCUACUAGGUUCCUUCCUCUUAUGGCCCCUACCCAACGAGGUGAACCGACAAUGACGGGUGGGCUAGCUGGACGUGGUGAAUUCUAGUGAUGAUUAAUCAGUAGCCGUGUGUCAUGAGUCUACAACGUUGAUUGACUAACACGGUUUGCCGCAUGCAAUUGUCACUGGAUGGCGUACGAGACAGGCUCAGAAACUCGGAAUGGACCUGCGGGUAAACCAUAGCCAAAUGCCUCGUCAUCUAAAUAGUGACCCGCAUGAAUAGAUGAACAAGAUUCCCACUGUCUCUACCUACUAUCUAGCAAAACCACAGCCAAGUGAAUGGGCUUGGCAAAAUCAGCGGGGAAAGAAGACCCUGUUGAGCUUGACUCUAGUCUGGCACUGUGAAGAGACAUGAGAGGUGUAGAAUAAAUGGGAGGCUUUGGCUGCCGGUGAAAUACCACUACUCAUCAUUUUUUCACUUGCCCAGUGAGGCGGGGAGGUGAGCCCCAGAAAGGGCUCUCGCUUCCGGAGUCAGUCGCCCGGCACACGUCGGGCGAGACCCGCUCCGGGGACAGUGGCAGGUGGGCAGUUUGACUGGGGCGGUACACCUGUCAAACGGUAAUACAGGUGUCCUAAGGCGAGCUCAGGGAGGACAGAAACCUCCCGUGGAGCAGAAGGGAAAAAGCUUGCUUGAUCUUGAUUUUCAGUGAGUACAGACCGUGAAAGCGGGGCCUCAUGAUGCUUCUGGCUUUUUGGGUUUCAAGCAAGAGGUGUCUGAAAAAUUACCACAGGGAUAACUGGCUUGUGGCGCCCAAGUGUUCAUAGUGACAUCUCUUUUUGAUCCUUUGAUGUCGGCUCUUCCUAUCAUUGUGAAGCAGAAUUCACCAAGCAUUGGAUUGUUCACCCUCUAAUAGGGAACAUGAGCUGGGUUUAGACCGUUGUGAGACAGGUUAGUUAGAAAAGGGAGAAGGGGGAGCCGUGGUGGGGGGGCUUAAGUGUGGGCGGUGCGGGGUCCCGGGGAGAGCCCGGUCCAUUUGCCCACUCAUUGCGGUUUCUUCCAUCCCAGCAGAAGCCCAUCGAAAGGUGAGUGCCGUGCGAGAGCGAAGAAGAGCAGUCGGAUGAGAAAGAGGGGCCGAUGUCCAUCCGAACAAGACGCACAGUACGGCAGGAGAGGCAGGGCAGGAGCCCCGACC
rnacentral:rRNA from 1 species